rnacentral:rRNA from 1 species
GAUGAACGCUGGCGGCGUGCCUAAUACAUGCAAGUCGAGCGAACAGACGAGGAGCUUGCUCCUCUGACGUUAGCGGCGGACGGGUGAGUAACACGUGGAUAACCUACCUAUAAGACUGGGAUAACUUCGGGAAACCGGAGCAAUACCGGAUAAUAUAUUGAACCGCAUGGUUCAAUAGUGAAAGACGGUUUUGCUGUCACUUAUAGAUGGAUCCGCGCCGCAUUAGCUAGUUGGUAAGGUAACGGCUUACCAAGGCAACGAUGCGUAGCCGACCUGAGAGGGUGAUCGGCCACACUGGAACUGAGACACGGUCCAGACUCCUACGGGAGGCAGCAGUAGGGAAUCUUCCGCAAUGGGCGAAAGCUUGACGGAGCAACGCCGCGUGAGUGAUGAAGGUCUUCGGAUCGUAAAACUCUGUUAUUAGGGAAGAACAAAUGUGUAAGUAACUAUGCACGUCUUGACGGUACCUAAUCAGAAAGCCACGGCUAACUACGUG